rnacentral:rRNA from 1 species
ACGGCUCAGUAACACGUGGAUAACCUGCCCUAAGGUGGAGGAUAACCCCGGGAAACUGGGGAUAAUACUCCAUAGGUUAAAGGUACUGGAAUGUUCUUUAACCGAAAGUUCCGGCGCCUUAGGAUGGAUCUGCGGCCGAUUAGGUUGUUGUUGGGGUAGUGGCCCAACAAGCCUGUAAUCGGUACGGGUUGUGGGAGCAAGAGCCCGGAGAUGGAAUCUGAGACACGAUUCCAGGCCCUACGGGGCGCAGCAGGCGCGAAAACUUUACAAUGCAGGAAACUGUGAUAAGGGAACCCCGAGUGCCCGUAUAUGCGGGCUGUCCGGAUGUUUAAAACGCAUCCGAAGAAAGGGCCGGGCAAGACCGGUGCCAGCCGCCGCGGUAAUACCGGCGGCUCGAGUGGUGGCCACUUUUAUUGGGCUUAAAGCGUUCGUAGCUUGAAUAAUAAGUCUCUUGGGAAAUCUGCAGGCUUAACCUGCAGGCGUUUAAGAGAAACUGUUGUUCUAGGAACCGGAAGAGGUGAGAGGUACUCCGGGGGUAGGAGUGAAAUCCUGUAAUCCCCGGGGGACCACCGAUGGCGAAGGCAUCUCACCAGGACGGCUUCGACAGUGAGGAACGAAAGCUGGGGGAGCGAACCGGAUUAGAUACCCGGGUAGUCCCAGCCGUAAACGAUGUGCGUUAUGUGUGCCGGUGACCACGAGUCACUGGGGUGCCGAAGGGAAACCGUGAAACGUACCGCCUGGGAAGUACGGUCGCAAGGCUGAACUUAAAGAAUUGGCGGGGAGCAC